AACGAACGCUGGCGGCAGGCCUAACACAUGCAAGUCGAGCGAGAUCUUCGGGUCUAGCGGCGGUCGGGUGAGUAACGCGUGGGAAUAUGCCUCUUGGUACGGAAUAGCCUCGGGAAACUGGGAGUAAUACCGUAUGUGCCCUUUGGGGGAAAGAUUUAUCGCCAAGAGAUUAGCCCGCGUUGGAUUAGGUAGUUGGUGGGGUAAUGGCCUACCAAGCCGACGAUCCAUAGCUGGUUUGAGAGGAUGAUCAGCCACACUGGGACUGAGACACGGCCCAGACUCCUACGGGAGGCAGCAGUGGGGAAUCUUAGACAAUAGGGGCAACCCUGAUCUAGCCAUGCCGCGUGAGUGAUGAAGGCCUUAGGGUUGUAAAGCUCUUUCAGCUGGGAAGAUAAUGACGGUACCAGCAGAAGAAGCCCCGGCUAACUCCGUG
rnacentral:rRNA from 1 species